ACUUAAAUUGAAGAGUUUGAUCAUGGCUCAGAUUGAACGCUGGCGGCAGGCCUAACACAUGCAAGUCGGGCGGUA
rnacentral:rRNA from 1 species